rnacentral:misc_RNA from 1 species
CCACCAAAGCCACCACCUCCACCAAAUCCACCUCCACCUCCUAGUCCACCUCCACGUCCACGACCAAAGCGACCGCCACAUCGUCGGCCCCAUCCACAGUAGUUAUCAUCAUUGCGAAACCUAGUUUCAUCAACUCUUUGAUCGGCAAGUGUGAUUGCACCCAAAUGAAAAACAACACAUAAGAAAAGCAGCAGAAAAGAAGCCCAUUUUGGAGAGGCACCCAUAGCUUCACUGAUGCAAGAGAACUCAGUUUUUGAUUU